UGCGCGGUAGGACAGUCCGGUAGUCCAGCGGGCUCAUAACCCGAACGUCGCAGGUUCGAAUCCUGCCCGCGCGACCA
rnacentral:tRNA from 1 species